AACGCGAAGAACCUUACCAGGUCUUGACAUCCUGAGAACCCGGCGUAAUGGCUGGGGUGCCCUUCGGGGAACUCAGUGACAGGUAGUGCAUGGUUGUCGUCAGCUCGUGUCGUGAGAUGUUGGGUUAAGUCCCGCAACGAGCGCAACCCUUGUAUUUAGUUGCUACGCAAGAGCACUCUAGAUAGACUGCCGUUGACAAAACGGAGGAAGGUGGGGAUGACGUCAAAUCAUCAUGCCCUUUAUGACCUGGGCUACACACGUAUUACAAUGGCGAGUAAACAGAGGGAAGCGACACGGCGACGUGAAGCGGACCCCAAAAAAUCGUCUCAGUUCGGAUUGCAGGCUGCAACCCGCCUGCAUGAAGUCGGAAUUGCUAGUAAUCGCGGAUCGGCAUGCCGCGGUGAAUACGUUCCCGGGUCUUGUACACACCG
rnacentral:rRNA from 1 species